rnacentral:rRNA from 1 species
UACGUAGGGUGCGAGCGUUGUCCGGAAUUAUUGGGCGUAAAGAGCUUGUAGGCGGUUUGUCGCGUCUGCUGUGAAAAUCCGGGGCUCAACCCCGGACUUGCAGUGGGUACGGGCAGACUAGAGUGUGGUAGGGGAGACUGGAAUUCCUGGUGUAGCGGUGGAAUGCGCAGAUAUCAGGAGGAACACCGAUGGCGAAGGCAGGUCUCUGGGCCACUACUGACGCUGAGAAGCGAAAGCAUGGGGAGCGAACAG